UGCCAAUGAUGGUUAAGAAUUUCUUCACCUGAAUAAACUAUGUGGUCACUUCGUAUCUGAGGCAA
ensembl:snoRNA SNORD36 Small nucleolar RNA SNORD36